CUUCCUUUUGAACCAUUGAGCCAAAUUGAAGUCUCAUUCUUUGUCAAAUAGGAUUUGUAAUUUGAAUAGUAUAUAAGACGAUGAUAUUUUCGUAAACAAGAAGGUCAGACACACCGCCGCCGUGGGACCCACCCACAAUGUAUUUUAUAGCUAAAAUUAUUAAAAUUAGGUCAUGGUGGUUUUGGUGGUGGCAGUGGGUUCAGAGGUGGUGGUAAGAGUGACAGAGGCAGAGGAAGGGGGGUUGGAGAAAGAGGAGGAAACAGGGGCACACCCUUCAAAGCUAGAGGCAAUGAUCCUUCAUGGAGGGCCUCAUGAUGUCUCUUUGUCAUACUUUUCAAAGUAUUUGGUUUUUCUAUCUUCAGUUGGAUACAACUUGCUAAUUGUAUAGGUAGCAAAUAUACUCUUGAACUUUCAAGCAUUAGUUUGGGCCAAUAUAGUUAAACUUAUGCCUAGAGAGAUGGAUGGCCCUCAUACAGAUAAAAAUGGAUUUAAGGCUGUUGCUUUUUUAUGAAAAAUAAGCUUAAUUGACUUAAUUUACUAGCUUGCAGUACCUAUUAAAGAGGAUUAAUUGUAGAACCUGUAUGUUACAACAUUUGAAUCCCUCCAAAAUGAAGCAAGUUUAGAGUGGGGGAAAAAUCAGAUUGAUAGAGAAAAUAAAGAACAUGACUCUUUGAAAAAUAAGUUUAGGGUUUAAAUGAUAAUGUUAGCAUAUAUAAAGUUUAAAUAGUAUCCCUUGAAGUCAAAUAAUACCCAGACUGAUAUUGGAAUGAGAAACAAAUGUUGAAACCUGUCUAUAAGAGCUACAUUAGAAAUUGAAAUGAUUUAUGACCUGGGAAUUGUGGACAAAAGGAUGUUUAGGGUCUAUUUUGACUUCAAAAUAAUAGAGAGGUUGAAGAGUUGAAAGUGAAAGGCUGGUCCUUCUUUUUAUUGUGAUAUAACGAGUCUAAAUAGACAUUUUAAUUAAAUUUCCUGGAUAGAAGUCUUUUAUGCCAUCUGUAUCCUAAUUAUAUGUUUAAAAGUUUGUGAUACUGAGACUGCUUUUCUUUUGGAAAUGAAUGUCAUUGUCAACACCCUUGAGAGAAACCCAAUAUGAUCACAAAUAGCAUAAAAAAUGUUAUGAAUAAGAGCAGAAAACAGCAGGACGCAGAGCAAGAACCAAAACCAAAGAAGGAAGAAAGGGCAAGGAGGGAAAUCUACAAACCUCAGUACCUCAGAUGCUUCGUAUAGGAGGCUGAGCUGGCAGCAGAUUAGUGCUCUUCCACGAUUGUUGUCGGCUAUUAUCCAAAUUCUGUUAGAAAUGUUUAUUUUGAUUUCCUCCGAGGCAUAUAAUGCCAAAAGCUGUUAUAGGCUCAAACUCUAUAUAUACUGAAAACAUGUAUUCAAAUGGCAAGCAGAAAAUUAAAGUCUUAUUCCCUCUUAUCUUAGCUUUUCUGGAGGAAUCCAGGACCUCGAA